rnacentral:rRNA from 1 species
GACGAACGCUGGCGGCGUGCUUAACACAUGCAAGUCGAACGGAGCGAAUGAAAGCUUGCUUUUAUAAGCUUAGUGGCAAACGGGUGAGUAACACGUAGACAACCUGCCGACAGGAUGGGGACAACAUUCCGAAAGGAAUGCUAAUACCGAAUGAAGUGCAGGGGAGGCAUCUCCCCUGCAUGAAAGAUGGCCUCUGAAUAUGCUAUUACCUGUUGAUGGGUCUGCGUCUGAUUAGCUGGUAGGUGAGGUAACGGCUCACCUAGGCGACGAUCAGUAGCCGGUCUGAGAGGAUGAACGGCCACAUUGGGACUGAGACACGGCCCAGACUCCUACGGGAGGCAGCAGUGGGGAAUCUUCCGCAAUGGGCGCAAGCCUGACGGAGCAACGCCGCGUGAGUGAAGAAGGUCUCCGGAUCGUAAAGCUCUGUUGAUGGGGACGAACGUGCCUAAUGCGAAUAGUAUUAGGUA